AUGGUCACAUCAUGUUAAAACACUGGUUCCUGUACGAUCAAGAAAGUUAAGCAAUGUUGAGCCUGGUCAGUACCUAGAUGGGUGGCCGCUUGAGAAUAUCAUUGCUGUA